UCACAACUUUAAUCCCAGCAUUUAGGAGAGUGGUAGGGACAGGUAUAUCUCUGUGAGUUUGAGGCCAGCUUGUGUGUGUGUGUGUGUGUGUGUGUGUGUGUGUGUGAGAGAGAGAGAGAGAGAGAGAGAGAGAGAGAGAGAGAGAGAGAGAGAGAGAGAGAGAGAGUGGCUUUAAUGAUGGAACCUCACAGGCUCCUGACACUCCUCUAAGGUAUACGUAAUUACCACCCAUGUGAUAUGAUUCAAAGGUGAAGCAACUCAGGGACUUGAGUUUCCAUCCAGAGUUCUGAGACACCCUACCCACAGUGCCUUACUUCCAGAGGCAGCAGAUACAGCCUUAAUGGUUAAGCACCUGCUUUGACUAAGACUGCAGUCUGAAUCUUCCUCAGCCACCAGUGUGACUCAAAAAAGUCAUUCAACCCUUCUUGUCCUGAAGUUACCUCACUAGUAAAGUGCAAAAUGCCUUUCUCACAGGAUUUCUAGAUGGAUGAGAUGAGUCGCAUAAAAUUCUGUGACAGCAAUCUAGCCACAAUUAGGGUGUGCAUGACCCUAAUUUACGCCGCCCCCUCCCCCCAAAUCGGGGAGAGGACAUUGGUUCAGACAAAGUUGUUGUUUCCUGGGUGUGGCCCAAGAGAGGAUGAGCUGUGGGGAUGAGGAAAAAGACGUAGGUAGAUAGCCCAGAGUAAAAGGCUCAACAUCUGGAGGGUGGGUAGAAAAUGAGAGGCCACACCUCAGAACUUCCUGCAGUCCAGAGCCAGGAAAAAUGAUGCUGAGACGUUGAUAAGGUUCACUGCACCCGAUCUGUUCUGACCAGCCUGUUCUGAGGACCCUGGCUUAGCCCAGUUUUCGGCUGUAGGGCGGAGACGAAGCCAGAGGCCGGGUCAAGGAAACCGGCCGCCCUGGUGCUUUGGAGGGCGCCCACGCGGAGCUCGUCUGUUCCGCCUGCCUUAAAACGCUGGCACGCCAGGAACCGGGCCAGAAGGGGUCUAGGCUUGACCUUGACCGUUGGAGCUGCUAGCUUGGCUCUCGCUGCCGGGCAACGGCGCGCUCCCCGCGGGCCCGCGGCUGCGCCUGCCCCUCCCUCAAGCGGAAUCGCGGGCGAUCCAGGCCGGGUUUUGCAGCGGAGCUGUUGGUGUGCGCGUGCCGAGUCCUCUCGGGUGGCGGUCGGCUGCAGGAGAUCAUGGUGCUGAGCGAAGUGUGGACCGCGCUGUCUGGACUCUCCGGGGUUUGCCUAGCCUGCAGCUUGCUGUCGGCGGCGGUGGUCCUGCGAUGGACCAGGAGCCAGACCGCCCGGGGCGCGGUGACCAGGGCGCGGCAGAAGCAGCGAGCCGGCCUGGAGACCAUGGACAAGGCGGUGCAGCGCUUCCGGCUGCAGAAUCCUGACCUGGAUUCAGAGGCCUUGCUGGCUCUGCCCCUGCUCCAACUGGUACAGAAGUUACAGAGUGGGGAACUGUCCCCAGAAGCUGUGCUCUUUACCUACCUGGGAAAGGCCUGGGAAGUGAACAAAGGGACCAACUGUGUGACCUCCUAUCUGACUGACUGUGAGACUCAGCUGUCCCAGGCCCCACGGCAGGGCCUGCUCUAUGGCGUCCCCGUGAGCCUCAAGGAAUGCUUCAGCUACAAGGGCCAUGCUUCCACACUGGGCUUAAGUUUGAACGAGGGUGUGACAUCGGAGAGUGACUGUGUGGUGGUGCAGGUACUGAAGCUGCAGGGAGCUGUGCCCUUUGUGCACACCAACGUCCCCCAGUCCAUGCUAAGCUAUGACUGCAGUAACCCCCUCUUUGGCCAGACCAUGAACCCGUGGAAGCCCUCCAAGAGUCCAGGAGGUUCCUCAGGGGGUGAGGGGGCUCUCAUUGGAUCUGGAGGCUCCCCUCUGGGUUUAGGCACUGACAUCGGCGGCAGCAUCCGGUUCCCUUCUGCCUUCUGUGGCAUCUGUGGCCUCAAGCCUACUGGGAACCGCCUCAGCAAGAGUGGCCUGAAGAGCUGUGUUUAUGGACAGACAGCAGUGCAGCUUUCUGUUGGCCCCAUGGCACGGGAUGUGGAUAGCCUGGCAUUGUGCAUGAAAGCCCUACUUUGUGAGGAUUUGUUCCGCUUGGACUCCACCAUCCCCCCCUUGCCCUUCAGGGAGGAGAUCUACAGAAGUUCUCGACCCCUUCGUGUGGGAUACUAUGAAACUGACAACUACACCAUGCCCACUCCAGCCAUGAGGAGGGCUGUGAUGGAGACCAAGCAGAGUCUCGAGGCUGCUGGCCACACGCUGGUCCCCUUCUUACCAAACAACAUACCUUAUGCCCUGGAGGUCCUGUCGGCAGGUGGGCUGUUCAGUGAUGGUGGCUGCUCUUUUCUCCAAAACUUCAAAGGCGACUUUGUGGAUCCCUGCUUGGGGGACCUGGUCUUAGUGCUGAAGCUGCCCAGGUGGUUUAAAAAACUGCUGAGCUUCCUGCUGAAGCCUCUGGUGAGAGCACCAGGCAUGCAAGGACAUGGUUGCAAGGACAUGGUCCCCGGGCCCCCAUCUCACACUACCUUGUGGUCUCUGGCUCUUCCUUCCUCCCUUGGUCUCUAGGUCUGGGCAGGCAUGGUCUCUUCAUCUCUUCUACCCUGACUGUUCUCCUUUCUACUUUUUAACAAACCUGUUUGUCAAAAGGGUCAUGACCUGGACCUGGGAGGUGGGAGGGCGAGGAGGAGGUGGCAGAGGUCACCAGUCACUGACCCUGUGUCUGUUCUGGUGCAGUUUCCUCGGCUGGCAGCCUUUCUCAACAGUAUGUGUCCUCGGUGAGAACUUCAAUGCCUGCCCCUGUGUAUCCUCAACUGGUCUAGUCUGAGUUCACGUGGUUUUGACAGAACAAUCUCCGGGAGAAACAGAUGCUAAAGUUGAGGUGUUCCAGGCAGGGAGGGGGACUGAUGGCCAUCAGGUCAGCCGAAAAGCUGUGGGAACUGCAGCAUGAGAUUGAGAUGUAUCGCCAGUCCGUCAUUGCCCAGUGGAAGGCAAUGAACUUGGACGUGGUGCUAACCCCCAUGCUGGGUCCUGCUCUGGAUUUGAACACACCGGGCAGAGCCACAGGGGCUAUCAGCUACACUGUUCUCUAUAACUGCCUGGACUUCCCUGCGGGGGUGGUGCCUGUCACCACUGUGACCGCUGAGGACGAUGCCCAGAUGGAACACUACAAAGGCUACUUUGGGGAUAUGUGGGACAACAUUCUGAAGAAGGGCAUGAAAAAGGGUAUAGGCCUGCCUGUGGCUGUGCAGUGCGUGGCUCUGCCCUGGCAGGAAGAGCUGUGUCUGCGGUUCAUGCGGGAGGUGGAACGGCUGAUGACCCCUGAAAAGCGGCCAUCUUGAGGGUCAUUCAUCUGCCCAGCUCUGGAGGACCUAAGGCCCAUGCGCUCUGCACUGCAGCCCCAUCUAUUCAGGAUCCUGCCACCCAUGAGGAGAUGCCCAGCACGGGAAGAGGCAACCACCUGCCCUCCCCUGGACUCCUACAGAAACCCAGGACAUGCCCUCCAUAACCAAGUCUGGACCUUGCUCCCCUUUCUGGUCUACUUUCCAUCCUGACCCCCUACUCUAUGUGACAGCCCAGCAGGAACGACACGGGCCAAGGACCACCAACAGUCAAAAAAAGCAAUGUGUUUCUGUAUUUUUCUGGGUAUUUUUCUAUUAGGACCUUGGAACCAGAGCCUGCUGAGAGGGCUGUGCUGUCCCUCCAGAGCUGGCUGUAAUCAUGUCACUCUCCUGCUCCAAAGCCUCCCUAGGCCAUCACCCACAAGGUAGACACAGGGACAUGUCCUUGGCACUUGGCUCCUGCCCUUCCUUCCUUGUUCAGAUUGGCCCCAGCUUUGAUGGACACCGCCCGGGUCUUCCUCCCUCAUUCCACCUCUCUCUCUUCUGACUUGGCCUUUUUACUUCUCUAGCUGUUGUAGAGAACAAGGUUUCUCUGUGUAGCCCUGGCUGUCCAGGAUCUCACUCUGUAGAUCAGGCUGGCUUUCAGCUCACAAGGCUGCCUGCCUGGGUGCUGGGAUUAAAGGCGUGUGUUACCAGAGUCUGGCUGGCUGGGAUAUCUUUUAGGGUCAUCUCUGUAACCCAUUUUCUACUUACAUAUCCACAAGUCAGAACACUGGACUGAGGAAGGACUAUGUCACCCUGGAUACCUGUCAGGGAACACUUACAGAGAUACCAGUGUCAUCAAUUUGAGCUUCCCAGCCAAAUAAGUCUCCUCCAGUCUGUGUUUGGUUAGCUUGCCAGUAUUGACCUGGCUCCUGACGGCUCCUCCAUGUAGGUUGUACUGGCGACCUAGGAUACCCCUUGUGGUGAGUGAGUGAGACCACUUGUGGUCUGGGCUCUGUAAGGUUUAUCAUCACAUGCCUAGCACCCAGCAUGUUACCUGGCACUUAGUAGAUAGCCAGUCAGGCUUGUUGGAGGGAUGGCAGAUUUAUUUCUAGCGAAUCCAUUUUGGCACCUCCCGAUUACUUCCUAUGCCAUCCAUAAUAGGGAAUUUUCAGUUUGCCUCUGACCUGCUACCUUUAUCUAAUCUACUUAAUUCACUUUGAUUCAUGACCACAGGGACAAAUAUCUCUUUGUCUGUGAUCAACGUAGAGCUUCCUCCUGGUCAAGAAGGCUGCAUGCAUCAACUUCUACCAACCCUCAGCUCCUCCAUACUUCUUCCACCCAGCCCACAAGCACAUUGAAUUCCUCCCACUAUGCUCAGGAUAAGCAAACAGAAACAGCCCCUGCUUGAAUGGUUUCUCAUUCUACCAGCAACUGUGUAUUUACACUGUAGGUCACACAAAUGCUAUAAAGCAGAAGUCCCUGGGUAUGAUGACAUCAAGCAGGCUACCUGGCCCGCAGGUCAUGUGUGCAAGAGUAGGAGUAUCAGGGAGUGCUCUCUGUGUGAAGUGACAUGUAAGCUGGAAAGCUCACAGUUAAUGGGAGCCAAGGAACAAGUAUUUCAAGAAGAGUGGAGUCGACUUAAACGCUGCUGAUGUAACUGGAUAAGGACAAGUGAAGGGAGGGAUGGAGAACUCCACCUGCCAUCAUUGAAUCGAGUGCCUACUGUUUGCCAGACACUUUACCAAAGGCUGCCAAGGUCCUUGCUCUUAGGGAACUCGUUUUCUAGAGAGAGGGCAUGCAAAUAAGAUCAUAAAUAAAAUAAUUUAUGCUGAU